CCUACGGGGGGCAGCAGUGGGGAAUAUUGGACAAUGGGGGGAACCCUGAUCCAGCCAUGCCGCGUGUGUGAAGAAGGCCCUCGGGUUGUAAAGCACUUUCAGUGAGGAAGAACGCCUGGUGGUUAAUACCCAUCAGGAAAGACAUCACUCACAGAAGAAGCACCGGCUAACUCCGUGCCAGCAGCCGCGGUAAUACGGAGGGUGCGAGCGUUAAUCGGAAUUACUGGGCGUAAAGCGCGCGUAGGUGGCUUGAUAAGCCGGUUGUGAAAGCCCCGGGCUCAACCUGGGAACGGCAUCCGGAACUGUCAAGCUAGAGUGCAGGAGAGGAAGGUAGAAUUCCCGGUGUAGCGGUGAAAUGCGUAGAGAUCGGGAGGAAUACCAGUGGCGAAGGCGGCCUUCUGGACUGACACUGACACUGGGGUGCGAAAGCGUGGGUAGCAAACAGGAUUAGAUACCCCUGUAGUC
rnacentral:rRNA from 1 species